GAUAGCUCGGGUCAGCUCAGGGUGGUUAAAUCUAAAAUGUUCCACGCAGGGCUGGCAGGUGAUUGGGGCGCUUGCAGGCAGCUCCAUGGUCUCAGCUGCCUUUGUGGGCACAAGGAUGGAGUACUGAGGGCUAUGGUGGGGGGCUCUGCUCCCACCAGCAGUGCAAGCCCAGCCCUCACAGCUGCUUCCUGACAGCGUGGGCCUGCCCUGCCCACAGCAAUCAUUGAAUUGAGCACAGGGAUUGUGCUGAGUGGAGCCCUUGCAGUGACAUCUCAGAACCCCUGGAGAGGAGAUAUGUUCAUCCUGCAGCCGCUGGGAAUUGAUUUAUGUGCAAUUUGUGAAGCUGAGACACCGAAGGUCAAAUUAUGGUGUUCGAACCCAGUCAAUGCCUGGCAGUAUCAGCAGAUCCUGGAUUUAUUGCUAAGGAAGGACAGAAGUUGCCAUGACUACUCACGGAGCAAUACUCUAUUACGUGCAAUGGAGACACUAACUGCCCCCAUGUCAGAGAAUUGCUGAGAACCAGUCCCCGAGAGGAUUGCCAAAUUCUCCACUGAAUGCCAGAGGAAGAAGGACUGUAAGAAGAAGUCAUCUGUCUCAGCUGAAAGGCUGAAUGGUGACUUGAAAACUGUACAGUUAACUUCAUUUAAUUUUCCUAUCUGUGUCAGGCAACAAACUGACUAAAGGAAAGCAUUCUGUGUGUUGUUUGCCUAGAAAUCCACUCAUCCUGGCCCAGCCUCGUGUGGGGCAGGGCACAGCAGCCUAUUUUUAUUUUUUUCAUGCUGUAUCUUAUUUAAAACCUGGCCAGAAAAGGGGGGAAUGGGACGAGGAGGGUUUUAAACAUUGGCUGUCACCUUAAUUGCAGCCUGGCAGUGAAUGGCUGCAGGCUUUCUUGGACAGCUCCUCCGUGAAUGUCACACACAAAUCCAUCCGACACCUGGGGUCAGAAGUAUUCUUCCGUGCUUUUUGUUAGGUCAUCUUUCCCCCUUCUGUGCCAAAGGGUCUGGCUAAAUUGGAUUGCAUUUAAAUGAGGUGAGUGUGUGAUGGAUCAGCCGAGUGCUGCUGUUUCCCUCCAAGUUUUGUGACAAAUCUCCCUAAUGCAAACACCGUGCCUCAUACCUUGAACUCGCUGCUGCAAUUAAAUACUGAUCCUUUAAGCCUUGUCUGGAAAAACAAUAUAGUAAUAGCAGAGGUGAGUGUUUGCACAGAAAAGGAGAGGUGUGCACGCAGCAGAUGCUGGCAGAGCUCUGGUAAUUCAGUUUGCAAGGGUCACAGUCACAUUGGAGACACCAGCAGUGACAUUGGCAAGUCCAGACCUUCAGUGCCAGCUCUCCAGGAAUUAGAGCAUGUACUGUGAUGCCUUCACUGCUGGGAGAGCUGAGCUGUGACACCAGCACGGUUUUUAUCAGCUUAUCGUUCAGCUAAAUGCAAACACAAUGAGCCAAAGAAGGGUGCUGACCGAUCGCCCAAUUCCCCUAAAACUUGAGUUUUGUCUGAGUGAUCAGCAAGAUACAGUGAGUGACACUGGAAUGAGUCUGCAGGGCACGUAGCCCGGUGAUUAGUCAGUUCUCAUUACCUCUUCCUCCAAUUAACGUCAGCAAAUCGGUGCUCCUGAAUCAAGGAGGACCUCAGGAGAAACGAAGCUUCCCCAAAACGCUGCCAGAUGUCAGCAAAGCUCCAAUCGCCUCGCCUGGCUGGUUCUGUACUUUUAACCCACGUAAUUAACUGUUCCCACCGUCCUGUUUCUGUCACUCCAGCCCUUCACCCGUGGUCUGCUGAUCGAUGCUGUUGGUUUAGCUGUGAUGGAGGAGUCUGUGCCUCGUGCUCCUGCUCUUCGUCUCAUUUCCAUGCUCAUCCCAGCCAAGCAGGAACCCAGCCUGAGAUCUCUUUUGUUACAGCUUCAUCACUCCGUUUGGAUCUUCCUCCCUCCUCGCUGUCUUUGCAGUUUCUCUCCAACGGGUUGUGGCAUUUGGCUUUUAUGGUCAGUCUCUGGAACUGGAAUAUAAGUUAAUUUUCCCCAUACUGUCCAAGAUACUAGGGGGGAUAUUUUUUUAUGUAUUUAUAUAUUUAUAUAUUUAUAUAUUUUUGGUAUCUGCAGGCUGAGGAGGAAGCUCACGUGUCACACAGGCAUUCAUUACAAAGGUGUUAUUUUUUUCCUCUUUAUUUUUAUUUUAAUUUUUUUAAAUUUUUAUUUUUAUUUUUCCCUGUGACUUGUCAGGAAUAAUUAAAUACUGUGAUUGUUUUGGCCUCCCUUCAAUGGGCAUUUACCCAACUCAUAAAUACGAGAGUAGCUCCCCUGAACUCUGUUUCCACUCAGGUAGAGUUGUGAAAGUUUGCUCAGUGAUGCUGUGAGGAAAACGAGGAAUCCAGAUGGGCUCAUGUUUGGGAAAACCCCGAGUUGUUUUUUCUCUAAAACCCAAAUAGUGUCGCUCAGAUCAAUUAAGAGUUGCUCAUUAACAUUAAAAAUACAUUCAUCCCCAGGUAUUUUCACAGUCCCCUUUGCUCCCAAAUUGGCAUGGGCAGUGCUGCUGUCCAAAACAAAUGAAGUGUGUGAAGACAGACAGUUUAAAGGCAUUGAGGAAUUUCAGACCUUUUACGUCUCACUUCGCUUUCACCUAAUUUGUUAAUGGCUAUGUUUCUCCCUGUGGGAAAAUAAAGCUUCUCUCUCUGACAUUUUAUAAAGGACCUACUAAACCUUCUUUUCUCCCUUUGGGUAAAAUCAGUUAAAUUGGCUUUUCUGGUGCCUUUCUGUUUUCCCUAGAGAAUCUGAGUUGGUUGUUAACACUUUCUGCCCCCUAGGCCUUACGAACAGUGUGACAGAAACCCUUAGAUACCUUAGAGGUCUAGGCACAACGUGGGCAGCUGUAGGUUCACUGGGGAGAGGCUUAUUAAUAUGUAAAAAAAAAAAGGAUAUAUAGGUGAAGAGAAGAGUAUCUGCUCAUCUGAGGUGUGAGCUGAAAUAAAAGCUUGCAGAGGGAUGCACAAUGAGUUUGUGACAUCACUGGGAAUUUCUGGAUCUCCUGGGCCACCAGAGAACAGGAUAUCUCCUCAGACAAAAGGACUUGUGAAUGUUUCCAAGCCUCACAGGUGUGUGUCACCACCAGGGAUGGCAAGCUGGGCACCUUGGUGUGCCACUCGUCGCUCCAGGCACAGGCGGACGCAUCCCUUGUGAAGUCUUAGCCAAAAUGCUUCCACAUGAACCUACUCUGCGGUGGCAAGAGCAGCUGGGAUGGCUCCUGUGCUCUUUGAUUUAUCCAGGCAGGCUACCAGGGUGUUUCCCUGGAAGUUUGUCAUGGCCUGACACGUGCUGCUCCCGUGGUGCCUCGCAGAGCUCCAUCAAUGUCCCUCCCUUGAGGAGAACAUGCUGAGCCAGCCUUGCAAGCUGCUCCAGCCGUGGGAUACCUGAUCCUCAGGCUGGAAGAGCCCUCGGAGCACGAGGUCUGCCUGACCUUCCAUUUCCUUUUCCUCCCCAUCUCUCACUUCACGUUCUCUUUGCUGUCCAUCCUGAUAUGUGGCAGGUGGUGGGGAGGGACGCGUCGCGUUGGUGCUGCGGAGGUUUUCCUCUGCAAAGGAAAACAUCUUCGUUCUGUAGGCAUUGAUGGAGAAGAGUGUUAAUUUAAAACCUGCCCCAGAUUAGUGUAGAACAGCGUAAACGACCAGCAGGUGCUGUGAAUGAUGGAUGGCAGGGAAGGAUUUGGACUGUCACUGCUCCACCACAGCAGGAGUGUUCUACAAGUGUUUUCUGUGUCAUUUCUGCAUUUGCUUUACUUAACAAUAGCCAUUAACCGCCCACUCUUAAAAAAUCAUCCUCUGCUAGGAUUCUACCAAGAAAGAAGGGGACAAUUUGGAACUUGCUUUGAAACAGCACUCUCAUGGGAAUUCAAAGCGUGGUUAUUAUUGUGCUGCUCGGAAAGCUGCUUUUCUGUCCAGCUUCCCUGUGAUCCCUUUAGCUCUAUCUGAUACCAAAGGCUUGAGAUCUCCAGAUUAGGAAUUAAAUUCCGCCUCUGUGGCCCAGACCU